CCUACGGGUGGCUGCAGUGGGGAAUAUUGGACAAUGGGCGAAAGCCUGAUCCAGCCAUGCCGCGUGUGUGAAGAAGGCCUUCGGGUUGUAAAGCACUUUCAGUGGGGAAGAAAGCCUUGGGGCUAAUACCCUCGAGGAAGGACAUCACCCACAGAAGAAGCACCGGCUAACUCCGUGCCAGCAGCCGCGGUAAUACGGAGGGUGCGAGCGUUAAUCGGAAUUACUGGGCGUAAAGCGCGCGUAGGCGGUCUGAUAAGCCGGUUGUGAAAGCCCCGGGCUCAACCUGGGAACGGCAUCCGGAACUGUCAGGCUAGAGUGCAGGAGAGGAAGGUAGAAUUCCCGGUGUAGCGGUGAAAUGCGUAGAUAUCGGGAGGAAUACCAGUGGCGAAGGCGGCCUUCUGGACUGACACUGACGCUGAGGUGCGAAAGCGUGGGUAGCAAACAGGAUUAGAUACCCCAGUAGUC
rnacentral:rRNA from 1 species